CAGAAACUUAAAGGAAUUGACGGGGGCCCGCACAAGCGGUGGAGCAUGUGGUUUAAUUCGAUGGUACGCGAGGAACCUUACCAGGGCUUGACAUACGUUGGAAGCGCAUCGAAAGGUGCGUGCCGCUUGCGGCCGGCGUACAGGUGCUGCAUGGCUGUCGUCAGCUCGUGCUGUGAAGUGUUGGGUUAAGUCCCAUAACGAGCGCAACCCCUACUGCUAGUUGCCAGCGGGUCAUGCCGGGGACUCUAGCGGAACUGCCAGCGUAAGCUGCGAGGAAGGUGGGGAUGACGUCAAAUCAGCACGGCCCUUACGUCCAGGGCUACACACGUGCUACAAUGGCCGGUACAGAGCGCAGCGAGGCCGCGAGGCGGAGCGAAUCGCUUAAAGCCGGUCCCAGUACGGAUUGGAGUCUGCAACCCGACUCCAUGAAGUUGGAAUCGCUAGUAAUCGCGCAUCAGCAUGGCGCGGUGAAUACGUUCCCGGGCCUU
rnacentral:rRNA from 1 species